GAGGAGUUGGAGGUGGAGGAGGAGGAGGAGGAGGAGUGUUUCCUUCAGGUGAAUUAGACCUGACUUUUCCACAUUUUUCUGCAGACUGCUCAUCACUCCUGACUUCUUUUCUUGUUAAAUAUGGUCCUCAUUGUACUGUGCGUUUGUGUAGAACAGGAGAUGAAGUUUGACACACAGCUCCAGUUUCCAGAACACACGCACACACAAACACACACUCACAUACACUCACACACACUCACACACACACACACACACUCACACACACACAAACACACACUCCAGACAGCUGACACACACCGAAAACACCAAGCCAGAAGUCCAAAUAAGGAAGAGAAGAGGAAGUCGUGGACACAGUGGAGGUUUUACAUGGCCUUACAGAGACACAGAAGACAGAAGUGCCACAUCACACCAUGCUACUGAUGUGAAAGGAAAAUAGAGUUAUUCAUAAAAUAAACAGAGAGAGAGAGUUAAUGAAACCAAAUAUCAUUCAUUCAUUCUUUCAUUCAUACAUUCAUUCAUCUUCUACCGCUUAUCUGAACUUCUCGGGUCACGGGGAGCCUGUGCCCAUCUCAGGCGUCAUCGGGCAUCGAGGCAGGAUACACCCUGGACGGAGUGCCAACCCAUCCAAAUAUCAUCUAAUGAUUAUUAAUUUGAGUGGUGUUACUGACUGUCAGGUGUGUUACUGACUGUCAGGUGUUU